GAAGUCCUUCAUCUUGGGCUGGCCCACUCAGAACUUUGUGGCCACUUUCAAGGCUCAGACACAGAUUACCAGUUGUGGGUAAAUUCUGGAAAGAAAAAGGAAGGAUAUCCCCUUGUUGGACACGAAUACCCAUACGGAAUACUGAUGAGUCACCUUCGAGACAGUGAAUUCAUGAGGAGAG